rnacentral:rRNA from 1 species
CAGCAGGCGCGAAAACUUCACAAUGGGAGAAAUCCCGAUGAGGGAAUUCCAAGUGCUAGCACUAUGUGUUAGCUGUUCUUUUGUCUAAAAAACAGAAGAAGUAAGGGCCGGGUAAGACGGGUGCCAGCCGCCGCGGUAAUACCCGCGGCCCGAGGGGUGGUCGAUAUUAUUGAGCCUAAAACGUCCGUAGCCGGUCUUGUAAAUCCUUGGGUAAAUCGGCCAGCUUAACUGUCCGAAGUCCGGGGAGACUGCAAGACUUGGGAUCGGGAGAGGUCAGAGAUACUUCUGGGGUAGGGGUAAAAUCCUGUAAUCCUGGAAGGACCACCGGUGGCGAAGGCGUCUGACUAGAACGAAUUCGACGGUGAGGGACGAAGCCCUGGGGCGCAAACGGGAUUAGAUACCCCGGUAGUCCAGGGUGUAAACGCUGCGGGCUUGGUGUUGGGGGUCCUUUGUGGGCGCCCAGUGCCGGAGAGAAGUUGUUAAGCCUGCUGCUUGGGGAGUACGUCCGCAAGGAUGAAACUUAAAGGAAUUGGCGGGGGAGCAC